rnacentral:lncRNA from 1 species
GUUGACUACCACAACUUCCCGUAAGGAAUAUGCCACUCACGUCAACGCUGUAGGUAACAAAUCUUGGCAGAGCUGCAGGGCUCUGCAAGUUGUUUGCAGCAGAUUUCCCUGACACAGUGAUGAAAUCUGUGGUGUUUUAUUUUCCCUUGUCUUCUGACAUCUGCAGCCUCAGUGGCAUUGGGCAUGAGGAGGAGUCUUCUUAUUUGAAAAAGUGGCAACAUGGGCCAAAAAGCACCAGCUCUGCUCCCAAGUCCUUGAGGAAUCUCACAGGACUGGCAAGAAAAGAAAAAACACCAUGAGUGUUUUGGCUCUUGGACAGGAGCUCUUACCACGAGAUCUGUGGCCACGCUGCAUGGACUGUUUCCAAGAGCUCAGUAAAAGGUAAGUUAGGAAGGAAGCUUGUUGUCUGCAGGCAGAAAUCCAAGUGAUCUG